UGGGGAAUCUUGCACAAUGGGCGAAAGCCUGAUGCAGCGACGCCGCGUGGGGGAUGAAGCAUUUCGGUGUGUAAACCCCUUUCGAUCCGGACGAAUACCUCGCAAGAGGGGUGACGGUACGGAUAUAAGAAGCCCCGGCUAACUACGUGCCAGCAGCCGCGGUAAGACGUAGGGGGCCAGCGUUGUUCGGAAUUACUGGGUGUAAAGGGUUCGUAGGCGGUGUGGCAAGUUGGGAGUGAAAUCUCUGGGCUCAACCCAGAGGCUGCUUCCAAAACUGCUGUGCUUGAGUGUGAGAGAGGCUCGUGGAAUUGCAGGUGUAGCGGUGAAAUGCGUAGAUAUCUGCAGGAACACCCGUGGCGAAAGCGGCGAGCUGGAUCACUACUGACGCUGAGGAACGAAAGCUAGGGGAGCAAACAGGAUUAGAUACCCCCGUAGUCC
rnacentral:rRNA from 1 species